rnacentral:lncRNA from 1 species
CCGUUCUGGGCUUCUGGCUGCAUUCUAGGAAGAUCAUUCCUUAAAAGAAAUAGCCAUAUGGCUUAUAAGGUGCUAAAAGGAUAAUACCAAGGAAAACUAUGGGUGGGGGCAGUGAAUGGCCAGCAUGCCUAUAAUCCCAGCACUUGAAGCCAGGAGUUCGAGACCAGCCUGGGAAACAAAGCAAGACCCUGUGUCUAAAAAAAUUUUUUUAAAAAUAAGCUGGGCAUGGUGGCACGUGCCUAUAGUCCCAGCUACUCAGCUACUCGGGAGACCAAGACAUGGAAUAAACUUGACAAGUGCUAAAGAUGCUCUUUGAUUUUUGUGUGGCAUGAGACCUCAGGCUGAAACUUCUCAUCUGAGCCAUUGAAGGGAGCCUCUCAUCUCUCCACCGAGAGGGGAGACCAGAAUGGCUCCUUCAGGCACAUUCUGUUGGGCUUCCCUCUACCUCCCCACUCUGCUGCUUCCCCGCUCUUUUUGAAUUUCUCCCUGUUGAGGAGAGGGAAGACCAGCUAGGAGGAGACAGCGCCUUUUCCCACUGCUCAGAAGAGGCCUAUUCUCCUGCUGACAUGUCUGCGUCACUCCUAUUGAUGCUAUGAUGAUCAUGAGCAUGAAGUUGCCAAAGAAACUGCUUCUCUGAGGAAAUUUCCAUGAGUGUGAAAUCAUGGGAAUCAAAAUUGAUGGGAAAGUCCCUCCGAGAGUGUGAAAAUUGCCAGGAUUCUUAUAGGAAAAGAGCUUAUGAUCAUCUCCUUCACCAUUUAGUCAGAU